UUCUACACUUUUCUAUCUUCAUUUUGAUAUAUUAUGGGUCAAAUUUGAGAAACGAUUGAGUUACGAAACUUUGAAAAUUGCCCAAAGAGUUUUUAACAGAAUGACCAAAAUCAUGGACGGUGGAUAAUCUUAAGGACCAUUUCUAUUGAUUUUCAAUCUCAGUGACCAUUUCUAUUGAUUAUGCAAAUCUCAGGAAUCAUUUUGUAUAUUUAGCGUUUUUGUUUUGAU
rnacentral:lncRNA from 1 species